rnacentral:rRNA from 1 species
AUUGAACGCUGGCGGCAGGCCUAACACAUGCAAGUCGAGCGGAUGAAGGGAGCUUGCUCCUGGAUUCAGCGGCGGACGGGUGAGUAAUGCCUAGGAAUCUGCCUGGUAGUGGGGGAUAACGUCCGGAAACGGGCGCUAAUACCGCAUACGUCCUGAGGGAGAAAGUGGGGGAUCUUCGGACCUCACGCUAUCAGAUGAGCCUAGGUCGGAUUAGCUAGUUGGUGGGGUAAAGGCCUACCAAGGCGACGAUCCGUAACUGGUCUGAGAGGAUGAUCAGUCACACUGGAACUGAGACACGGUCCAGACUCCUACGGGAGGCAGCAGUGGGGAAUAUUGGACAAUGGGCGGAAGCCUGAUCCAGCCAUGCCGCGUGUGUGAAGAAGGUCUUCGGAUUGUAAAGCACUUUAAGUUGGGAGGAAGGGCAGUAAGUUAAUACCUUGCUGUUUUGACGUUACCAACAGAAUAAGCACCGGCUAACCUCGUG